rnacentral:lncRNA from 1 species
AGCAAGCUUCACUUGACAAGGAAAGAUCAUAUGAUGCUUAUAGAGGAAUAUGAUACUACUAUUAUACAUAGAGCAUGCAGGAACUUGACUCACCAGCAAAGCUAAGUCUUCAUGUGCUUCCACACAUAUAGAUGUCUUUACUACUUUAGGACAAUUUAUUAACCAUGGUCACAAAGGGAUCGAAGUCUAGUAUGAGCAUAUGUCCGUCCGCACCUAUUCACAUUUUAGGCCUCGCAGACUCUAAAAUAAUCCAUAGAAGUAAUGGAACUACUAUAGAAAAUGCUCAUGUGUGUUCUAACAAAAGUGACGACGAUAUUUCUCCUUCAUAUAAUUCGAUAUCCCAAGUUCUUGCAUAACUACUCAUUUUGUAUACAACAAAAUAUUAGCCCUGUUUUUUUAUUUUUUUUAUUAACCUAUCAUAAAUCUAAUUCAUGAUCUGGUCACCGAAACCUUUGGUCUCUGCUUGAAUUCAUCUGAUUGGCUGAACAAUUCUUCAUUUGGUCAGUAAUUUGACAGUCAUAUGUCAAUAUUCAUCAACACAAGCUUUCUUUGACAAGAAAAUUAGCGUAGGCUAUGUAGGAAUAUUUUACAAGGAAUUAGAACUUAAUUAGUUCCAUGAGCUAAGUCAUCUUUGGAUGAUUCAACACAUGAUUUAGCAUGCACGUUUGGUUAAUCAUCACACUUGCUUCGGCGGGUCAAAUUAUUUACUUGACACAGAUAGCUAACUGCUUUUAGGGGAGACAAUAUUUAUCACAAUAUUCUCCAUUGGUGACACACACUUUGCUAAUUUAUGAGAAUUGAUUAACCGCAUAGUCGAGCCCAUGGAUUCCUAACCGUGUCAGUUGUUAUGUCUAAUCAGAUUCUAUCGCCAAACUAAUUUGGUAGGAAGGAUAUUCCAUACUACCUACUGCCGUGGCCAAUCUCAAAUGAAAAACCAUGCCUUUCUUAGGAACAAAAGAGAAUAUGGUUGGCAGCUCACAAACAUGAAAAACAAUACCAUGAGAAUUCAUGCAUGAUGGAAAAGGUUGUACUUCACGUGCACUUCAUCGAUUGUCUAGUACGAUUCGAUAAGCAUUUCGUUCUAUAUUUAGUCGCACUUCGACGAAUUUGUUGUAGCAGGACUCUUCUUUCUU